rnacentral:lncRNA from 10 species
CUUUGAAAAGCUGUAAGGUGGUAUCAGCUUUAUCGUGGUUGGCUGAGGAAGGAUUUGUACAAGUAAAUGUUCUCUGCCUUAUUGUCAUUCCUAGGGCCGUCUGGUCUUAUAGUACCCUGAAGGUGAGGGAUUAGAUUAUGCUCUGAAUUUGUAUGCCCAUAGUUUGAGGAAAUGUUUUACUUGAGUUUUCUGUGUGUUGAGAUGAAAGUCUCCCAGGCUAAAGAUUUCUGAACUGCACGCAAUGUCUGAAGAAGCGCUUGAAAGGCACUUUAUUUCUCCCAGGUCCCCAACCAUGGGUUUAGGUUUUUAUGCCAGAAAGGGGACCUUCAUGAACAAAGACCCCCAAGACCUAGAGAGAAGAGGAAGUCUGAAAGAGGGAGGUUUGAAUUCAGCCUUCAGGAAUGAAGAGGGCAGACAGAGCAGGAGGCUCAGGCAAGGGAGUCAGGAACCACAGACCAGAAACAUGGACUUGGAAAGGUUUUCAUGUAAUUGAAAUGAAGCUAUUGAUCCAUCCAUUUUAAAAGAAUUUGAAAAAUUCAUUAAAAUACUUAAUUAGUGGCAUCCACUAAUUAAUAAAAGCAUAGGGAGUGGCAUCUUUAACCAAAAAUGAAAAUGAAGAAACAGACUCCAGCCCAGGGACCAG